rnacentral:lncRNA from 1 species
GGUAUAUCUUGACCUAUGGGGAACCUUCAAUGAAAAUCACACCGAUGAUAUCACUAUCAAAUAUGGAGGUGGCUUACACGGUGUGGAACAGAUUCUCUAUUUGACUGGCAGCUUGCGCUGUGCCGUCUUUAAGGUUUUUUCUCCAGAACAAGGUAUGGAACAUUACUACGAACUCCGAGUAAGAAACUCUUCAAUCUCUGCCGGGCCUGAUCAGCACUGCCAGCAGCAGUUCAAAU